CGCAGCCGCGGUAAUUCCAGCUCCAAUAGCGUAUAUUAAAGUUGUUGCAGUUAAAAAGCUCGUAGUUGAAUUUCGGGAUUAAUUUACUGGUCGUGCUAUUGUACGUACUGGUUUUAUUGAUUCCUCCCUUCUGACGAACUAUGAUGUCAUUAAUUUGGUGUCAUAGGGAAUCAGGACUGUUACUUUGAAAAAAAUUAGAGUGUUUAAAGCAGGCUCACGCUUGAAUACAUUAGCAUGGAAUAACGGAAUAGGACGUUUGAUUCUAUUUUGUUGGUUUCUAGGAUCGACGUAAUGAUUAAUAGGGAUAGUUGGGGGCAUUAGUAUUCAAUUGUCAGAGGUGAAAUUCUUGGAUUUAUUGAAGACUAACUACUGCGAAAGCAUUUGCCAAGGAUGUUUUCAUUAAUCAAGAACGAAAGUUAGGGGAUCGAAGACGAUCAGAUACCGUCGUAGUCUUAACCAUAAACUAUGCCGACUAGGGAUCGGAUGAUGUUAAUUUUUUAAUGACUCAUUCGGCGCCUUA
rnacentral:sRNA from 1 species